rnacentral:rRNA from 1 species
AGGGCACCACCAGGAGUGGAGCCUGCGGCUUAAUUUGACUCAACACGGGAAAUCUCACCAGGCCCGGACACUGGAAGGAUUGACAGAUUGAGAGCUCUUUCUCGAUUCGGUGGGUGGUGGUGCAUGGCCGUUCUUAGUUGGUGGAGUGAUUUGUCUGGUUAAUUCCGAUAACGAACGAGACUCUGUCCUGCUAAAUAGUUCCCGCGUCCUUUGUUGCGCGGGAAAUUCUUCUUAGAGGGACUGGCGGCGUCUAGCCGCACGAGAUUGAGCAAUAACAGGUCUGUGGUGCCCUUAGAUGUUCUGGGCCGCACGCGCGCUACACUGAAGGGAUCAGCGUGUCUUCCCUUCCCGAGAGGGACGGGUAACCCGCUGAACCCCCUUCGUGGUAGGGAUCGGGGCUUGCAAUUAUUCCCCGUGAACCAGGAAUUCCCAGUAAGCGCAAGUCAUAAGCUUGCGUUGAUUACGUCCCUGCCCUUUGUACGCACCGCCCGUCGCUACUACCGAUUGAACGUUUUAGUG